GCGGCGGUCUGGGGCAUGGCGCUCGUUCGUCUUGUGGAGACGAGAAGCUUCUGGUCACGACCGUCUGGUGAACCGAUGCACC
rnacentral:tRNA from 1 species